ensembl:lncRNA
UCGGGAUUCCCUAUUGUCACCGAUCCCGGAAGUGCCCGAGUCGCCGGUUUCCGCCGGAAAAGGUUCCGUCUGGACCAGACGGGUCUGUCUCUUUUUCGGUCUCUUUCGGUAUCGUUCAACUGAUCCAGUACAGAACUGGACCGGAACCGAAGCUGUACGAUAAACUCCUGUCCGGUUUUGUCAGUACUGCGUCUCGAUGCAGAUGCUCCAGGUGAAAUGAAUAAGGCACCUCAGCCUCUGUCAGGACCCCCCUCCGCCCCGCUUCCCGCGCCCACCCCGGGCCUGUCCCAGCCCAGUUUUUCUCCUGUUCCGCCAAUUGUGUUCGGCACCCCUCCGCCACAGAUGAACCCCGCCGCCCAACCCCGACAGGUACGGCACCCCAGACACGCAUCACUUCCUGUGGGCCUGCUGGGUCAUUGGCCCAUUCGUUUUCCAGCCAAGCCAAACCAAACCAGCCAGCCCGUGUUACAUUUAAUAUACAUUUUAAAGGUAUUUAGGUAUUAAAGACUUAAGCAUCAGAAAAACACUAAGGUCUUCCAUAAAGCAGAGAUUCCCAAAAUCUGCGAGCUAAAAUAUUUACUUGAAGUCUCCCUGAGAUUUUAACUUAUUUCAAUAAAUAAGCACAUUCAUAUGGUCACAGUUCUCAGAAUCAAUGGUUACAUGGCAUGCAGGUAAACAAAUACAAUAUUUAAUCUUUUGCUUUAUCUUGCUUUUUUUUAAUUAUUUUAAUUGUAUGAUUGUUGCCAUAAAACACUUCCAAAGAUAGAAUCAAAUCAGUCUUGAAUUUUAAUACAAAAUUAG